AUUGAACGCUGGCGGAAUGCUUUACACAUGCAAGUCGAACGGCAGCACGGGAGCUUGCUCCUGGUGGCGAGUGGCGAACGGGUGAGUAAUAUAUCGGAACAUACCCCGUCGUGGGGGAUAACUCUCCGAAAGGAGUGCUAAUACCGCAUACGACCUGAGGGUGAAAGCGGGGGACCUGCAAGGGCCUCGCGCGAUGGGAGCGGCCGAUAUCGGAUUAGCUAGUUGGUGAGGUAAAGGCUCACCAAGGCGACGAUCCGUAGCGGGUCUGAGAGGACGACCCGCCACACUGGAACUGAGACACGGUCCAGACUCCUACGGGAGGCAGCAGUGGGGAAUUUUGGACAAUGGGGGAAACCCUGAUCCAGCCAUUCCGCGUGAGUGAAGAAGGCCU
rnacentral:rRNA from 1 species